rnacentral:rRNA from 1 species
CGUGUAGGCGGGAGGGAAAGUCAGAUGUGAAAUCCCCAGGCUCAACCUGGGAACUGCAUUUGAAACUCCCCUUCUUGAGUACCGGAGAGGAAAGUGGAAUUCCUGGUGUAGAGGUGAAAUUCGUAGAUAUCAGGAGGAACACCAGUGGCGAAGGCGGCUUUCUGGACGGUAACUGACGCUGAGACGCGAAAGCGUGGGGAGCAAACA